UUGAAACUUGGUGUCGGUCUGUGAUCUGUGCUGGUGGCAACACAUGUGCACGUUUACAGACCGCAUAUCCACACACCUGUGCAUUUUAUGACUGCAAGUUGCCCUUUGUGUGCCUUUAGGCUUGGUGACUUGUGGUAAUUUUACACACUCUUGAAUGUAAUGGAUUGUCUAUUGUGCCUUGAUGUACAACUAAAA
rnacentral:misc_RNA from 2 species